AAAGUCUGUACCAGAUUCCACCUGUACUAAUCCGGCAGUCACUAAAUCACUCAGACCAAAGUUUAUCAAUGCUCCGGCUAUAGUUGACGCUCCAGUGCCUCCUCUUGAUGCUGGCAGAAUGUCGUAUUUUCCCGUUUCUCCUAUUCCAA
rnacentral:rRNA from 1 species